rnacentral:rRNA from 1 species
CGGUGGUUCUGAAUGGAAGGGCCAUCGCUCAACGGAUAAAAGGUACUCCGGGGAUAACAGGCUGAUACCGCCCAAGAGUUCAUAUCGACGGCGGUGUUUGGCACCUCGAUGUCGGCUCAUCACAUCCUGGGGCUGAAGUCGGUCCCAAGGGUAUGGCUGUUCGCCAUUUAAAGUGGUACGCGAGCUGGGUUUAGAACGUCGUGAGACAGUUCGGUCCCUAUCUGCCGUGGGCGUUGGAAGAUUGAAGGGGGCUGCUCCUAGUACGAGAGGACCGGAGUGGACGAACCUCUGGUGUUCGGGUUGUGUCGCCAGACGCAUUGCCCGGUAGCUAAGUUCGGAAUCGAUAACCGCUGAAAGCAUCUAAGCGGGAAGCGAGCCCUGAGAUGAGUCUUCCCUGAUACUUUAAGUAUCCUAAAGGGUUGUCGGAGACUACGACGUUGAUAGGUCAGGUGUGUAAGUGCUGUGAGGCAUUGAGCUAACUGAUACUAAUUGCCCGUGAGGCUUAACCAUACAACACCCAAGGGGUUU